GCGGUAGUUCAGUUGGUUAGAAUACCGGCCUGUCACGCCGGGGGUCGCGGGUUCGAGCCCCGUCCGCUCCGCCA
rnacentral:tRNA from 2 species